UAACUUAAUUAUUUAGAAAAUGCACAUGUUAUAUAUAUAUAUAUAUGUGUUUGUGUGUGUAUAUGUAUAUAAUGUAACUAUUCAGUAAAUUUUAACCACAGCUUAAUUCUUUACUGGCAGCGGCUUAAUAUUAUUUUACACUAUCUUGUUCUAUACGUGUUUCAUACGCGUUUGCAUAUUUUCCUAUCGUUAUCUAUGAAUUAUGUUAUCUCAUGUACAUGUAUAGCUCUCAUAGAUAGCAUUUAUGGGAUUAGUACCUUUGAAUAGCGAUUUAUGUAUUGAAUACGACGUAGGCGUCACCCUCGUUCUGGUUUCUGUAAUACUCGCUUUGUUGUCCUCGUAUGCACGUAUAUCGUAUGUACGUUUGCCUGUAAUCAAUUGCCUACUGAAAUUUAAGCGUCACAAAAAGUCGUAAUCGCUUUGCCGAGCCCCGUUCUGGAACAACAUAAAAUGACGCGAAUGCGCCGUAUGCGUCCAUAUUUUACAUUGCUGAUUUUGCCGCGCCGAUUUUGUGGCAGCGCGAUACGCAAUUAGCAUUACGAAGUAAUAAAUUAUUGUUAUCUUCAUUAUUCAAAAUCUUUCUAGUCUUUCUCUUGUAUAUUUGCAAUUGUCACAUAAUACAUUUAUUUUCGGAAUGUUUAAAAUAUUGUUUUGUGUGUGAAAAGACGUAAUCGUACGAACUGAUACAAGUGAAUCGUAUUAUUCAAACAUGCAUAAUUUAUACAUAGUAGUAGCAUGGAAACUAAUUUACGCGUUAAUCAAUAUCUCACCUAUCUAAUUCUUAUUGUUAAUUUGUGUUUAACGGCAACGAUGGGAACGGCCCUCUCCUAGAUCUGCGAAGUUGCCUAAUAUUCUACUAGUCAGGAUCGUCUUUUCUAUAAUCUAGCCCACCCCUGCUCCUCACCACGUCCCUCUCUUCCACCUCCUCCUGUCCUCUAUGCCGCAUCCUCAUCCUCAUCGCUCGCCCUUGUUUUCUGUCGCCCAGCACACAGCAUUCUCUCUCGCUGUUUCUCUCCGUCUCGCGUAAACGUGUAUACGCGCUGCCUAGCUGUCUCACCUCCUCGCAGUCUCCACACUUCCUCCCCUUCCCGCCAUUUCAUCUCUCGCCGGCUCUCUGUCUGCUUGACGCUGCUCCCCCUGCUUCUACCUCACUUCCUCUAGCAUGCCCGCUCCGAUCCUUCUCUCCCUUCUCUCCCCACUUCGUCCCUACCAGUUCAGCCUGUUCCCCCUCGUGCCACAACACGCCCACGUGUCACGUGGUUGUGUGGGUGCACGUGCACGAAGUCGCACACAGUGGCACACGACCGACCGCCACGGCAACGGAGUGCGGAUGCGGAGUACCUACAGAGUUGAGGGUACAGACGACAGUGCCGCGUACACACCACAGCGUUCCGCACUCAUGCCUUGCGUUCUCGCGCGAUAGAUCGCCCGCCCCGUAUCGUCAUCCUCUCGUCGAUCCGUUCGAUCGAUCUGUCCCGCACCCUACCGCGCAAAGGGGGGGCUCGAUCUCGUGUCCCGCGAUAGUUCGAAACGUUUGCUCGCGCGCCGCGUCGUCAAAGACGCGAAAUUCGAAGGCAACCGCGAUUGCUCGGUCCCCGCGCGCGCGAGAGAUGAAGGCAAGGCUGAGAGAAAAUCCGAUCGUCGAAAAGAAGGACCGCGGGAAGGCGGGAGGACGGGGCCGGCGGUCCCAUAUGAGAUACGGAAUGUUUCUUGUGAGCGCCACACGUGUCUUUGAUCUUCGGUAGGACUUCGCCGUGAUUCUUUAUUACGUACGGUCCGGGGAUGGCCGGCUGCCCUCGCGAAGAUGAUAUCGAAACCAAGGAAGAUAGACCUACGCGAGGAGGAUGACAAGAGGAAUAUUCUGAGAGCCGGCUGGCCCACGAAGAAAACACCUUAGUGCCUUGGUGAUCAUGUAACUACGUUUCUGAAGUUCAAGCGUUGUUAAUUCGAUAUUUAGAAUUUGUGACUACUGAAUUAGAUGAAACUGAAGAGGACUUCGUGAACUGAGGAUGGGCUGAUCUUUGGUAUCUCGAGAGCGAACAUAUGGCACACUAUCUGUUAAAAAAGAAUUUAUGGCAUAUUGUUAACUGAUCAACAAUCGCGGAAUGGCUUUUUCCUUUUUAUUUAUUUUUGAUAUGUUAAUGAAAAUGGAUGUAGCUUCGCGUGUUACAGAACAGUAAAAGUGCGACAUUAGUUCUUCAGUGAUCUUUUUUAUUUUGUGAAAAUGAAUAUUGCAUUUAUAUUUUGACAAGGAUAAUGAAGAUUUAACGUUUUAUUUUGAUAAAAUUUUGUAAAGUUGAAAAAAAGUACAUGGAGAAUUUUACAAAGAGUAGAAGAGAUCAGAUCUAAGUUAAAAUGUCGGUAACUUAACAUAUUCAUAGUAUCAGUUGCAAUUUAAUAAUAAUGUAUGCUGUAUGAUACAAGUAACAGAUCUAAUAAAUCUUGUCGCAUGUUCGCAUUCUUCGUCUCGAGGGAAAACGAAAUGAGAUAUGACGUAACUCUAGAGGGAGGUUUAAUAGCGAUGACUGAUACUAAAUUAUUCCCUCACGCGUGAUCGUAUACGUCUCUGGUAUUAGGACUAUCGCCGUGCGGAAUCAGUGGAAGGGAAUUUAACGGUGCCUUUUCGAUGUCCUCGCUCUCUUAAUGUCAUCAAAGGUUGAAGCGUGGCCCUGGGAUCGGCGGAACGAGUCCGCGCCCGGUCAUACGGUCGAGCGGAAAAGAGAGGCCAGACUAGAGAAGCUAGGGGGGCUGUUCUCGAGGUGGUCGAGUGCCAAUAGAAACGUCCGAGUGUCACGAAAGAGUACGUACGGACGGGAAAGAGCCGAGGGAACUUGAUGGUGGUCGAAUUCGACGAGCGCGGUCGUCGGAGUGAAGUGUUCUCGAGUUCUCGCCGGCGACGAGCGUGUGUACACACACGUGUCCCCGUGCUCGCGGAAAGAUGCUGCGGCGGACGAUUCGAUAGUAAUUGCACUGUCUUCGGGGAGGCUUGCCGCCGGGUCGUGAACCCCGCCAGGUGGUGACUGAAGGACCGCUUUUGGCACCGUAAAGUGCCUCGCCUUUCGGCUGAAAAACAUCGCGACGCCUCUCGCAUGGAACACACAUUUAAUUUACGAACGUUGUUGGUCGUUUUAAUAAUCAUUUAGAAUUUGUAGAUUUGCGGCAUGCGGAACAGUAAGAGUUGGUAAACACGGGUGUAGUUGUGUUGCUAAAUACGCGGAUAUAUGUGCCACUGUGUAUUAAUGUGCGAAUGUGUUAAAGUGCUUAUGUUGUUCAUCACCUGGAAGGCGAAAGGUUUUCACUUCUCUAAUGUGUUCCUGUCAGGAUAAUUAACUGAUUGCUUAACAAAAAACCAUGUGUUUCACUGCCUACGCUUUCGUACUUCUACGUAUUCAAUUUGUAAUUAUAACAUUACAAAUUGUUAUCGCAACAUU